rnacentral:rRNA from 1 species
UACGUAGGGUGCAAGCGUUGUCCGGAAUUAUUGGGCGUAAAGAGCUCGUAGGCGGUCUGUCGCGUCGGGUGUGAAAACCCGGGGCUCAACCCCGGGCCUGCAGUCGAUACGGGCAGACUAGAGUGCGGUAGGGGAGACUGGAAUUCCUGGUGUAGCGGUGAAAUGCGCAGAUAUCAGGAGGAACACCGGUGGCGAAGGCGGAUCUCUGGGCCGUAACUGACGCUGAGGAGCGAAAGCAUGGGGAGCGAACAGG